rnacentral:rRNA from 1 species
AGUAGGGCGUGGGCAACCUACCCCGGGGUCUGGCAUAGCCCGUCGAGAGACGGGGUAAUUCCAGGCGACAUCCUGAUGGGGCAUCCCGUCGGGAUCACAGGUCCGCCGUCCCGGGCGGGGCCCACGUGAUAUUAGCUGGUUGGUGGGGUAACGGCCCACCAAGGCAUAGAUGUCUAGCGGGUGUGAGAGCACGACCCGCGCCACUGGCACUGAGACACUGGCCAGACACCUACGGGUGGCUGCAGUCGAGGAUCUUCGGCAAUGGGGGCAACCCUGACCGAGCGACGCCGCGUGUGCGACGAAGGCCUUCGGGUUGUAAAGCACUGUCGAGGGGGAGAAAAGCCCGCGAGGGUAUGAUCUAUCCCUGGAGGAAGCACGGGCUAAGUUCGUGCCAGCAGCCGCGGUAAKACGAACCGUGCGAACGUUGUUCGGAAUCACUGGGCUUAAAGGGCGCGUAGGCGGGCCGCCAGGCCCGCGGUGAAAUCCCCCGGCUCAACCGGGGAAGUGCCGCGGGGACCGGCGGUCUGGAGUGGGGUAGGGGCGUGCGGAACUGUGGGUGGAGCGGUGAAAUGCGUUGAUAUCCACAGGAACUCCGGUGGCGAAGGCGGCACGCUGGACCUCGACUGACGCUGAGGCGCGAAAGCCAGGGNAGCGAACGGGAUUAGAUACCCCGGUAGUCCUGGCCCUAAACGUUGGGGACUGGGUAGCAGGCCGGACAUGGGCUUGCUGCCGGAGCGAAAGUGUUAAGUCCCCCGCCUGGGGAGUAUGGUCGCAAGGCUGAAACUCAAAGGAAUUGACGGGGGCUCACACAAGCGGUGGAGCAUGUGGCUUAAUUCGAGGCUACGCGAAGAACCUUAUCCCGGGCUUGACAUGUGCGAAAGCGCUCGGAAGUAGCCCGCGGAAACGUGGGGCCAACGGUACCCAGUCCGGAACCGAGCACAGGUGCUGCAUGGCUGUCGUCAGCUCGUGUCGUGAGAUGUCGGGUUAAGUCCCAUAACGAGCGAAACCCUUGCCCUCAGUUGCCACUCGUGGGACUCUGGGGGGACUGCCGGUGUCAAACCGGAGGAAGGUGGGGAUGACGUCAAGUCCUCAUGGCCUUUAUGCCCGGGGCUGCACACGUGCUACAAUGGCGUGGACAAAGGGACGCGAGCCCGCGAGGGGGAGCCAAUCCCAGAAAGCACGCCCCAGUUCGGAUCGCAGGCUGCAACCCGCCUGCGUGAAGCCGGGAUCGCUAGUAAUCGCGGGUCAGCAACACCGCGGUGAAUGUGUUCCUGAGCCUUGUACACACCGCCCGUCAAGCCACGAAAGGGAGGGGCGCCCGAAGUCACCUCACGGUGCCGAAGGCGAGACUCCUGAUUGGGAUUAAGUCGUCACAAGGUAACCGUAGGGGAACCUGCGGHUGGAUCACCUCCUU